CACACCACCAGCAAAGUGUCAGAAGGAGCAGUAACACCAAAAAAGAACAUUAACCAGCUCUGUGCAGGAAUGGAGGUUCUUGGAUGGGGCAGGAAGCAGGGAUAGCCAAGAACAUUUCAGCCUGAGAGAUAUGUCUUUUUGUUGGGUUCCACAGUUUGUGGAACACAGUGACCCAGGUGUGGAAGUACGGUCAUCCUAUCCUUCACUGUUACAUAUUUAGAGAAAUAAACAGAAAAUAAAAAGAAUCAAGAAAUGAGAACUUAAAGAAAAGUUUUAUAUAUAUAUAUAUAUAUAUAUAUAUAUAUAUAUUUUGCUUGAACAAUCUAUGGAAGCACACAUAAAAUACCUAUUAACAAUUUCAUACAAACUUAAUUUUCCAUUUGACAGUGACACAGAGCCAAACUCCAUGAAAGGUCAGUGAAAACAACCCAAAUUAUUACCAUAAAUACUGUAAGGGAGGAUUUUCUUCUGCUUUUCUUUUUUAAAAAAAAUAAAAAUUUAAAUCCUUUUUUCUUUUAUUUUCAAUUAUGUUGGAUAUUAAAUUACUGUCCUCCUAUCCCAGAAACUGCAAAUUCUGCUUGUGUUCAGAUUUCAUCUGACCCAAAUUCUUAACAGUCAAGCGU
rnacentral:lncRNA from 12 species